rnacentral:rRNA from 1 species
AAAGCUGGCGGCGUGCUUAUGCAUGCAAGUCGAACGGGUCACUUGGCGUGACUAGUGGCAAACGGGUGAGUAACGCGUAAGCAACCUGCCCUUAAGUAGGGGAUAACUCUGAGAAAUUAGAGCUAAUACCUUAUGUGGUGAUGGAGGUGAGGCUUCAUCACUAAAGCCGUAGGGUGCUUAAGGAGGGGCUUGCGUCCGAUUAGCUAGUUGGUAGGGUAAUGGCUUACCAAGGCGACGAUCGGUAGCUGGUUUGAGAGGAUGUCCAGCCACACUGGGAUUGAGAUACGGCCCAGACUCCUACGGGAGGCAGCAGCAAGGAAUAUUGUGCAAUGGGCGAAAGCCUGACACAGCGACGUCGCGUGGGGGAUGAAGGCCCUCGGGUUGUAAAGCACUUUCAGCGAGGAAGAACGCCUAGCGGUUAAUACCCGCUAGGAAAGACAUCACUCGCAGAAGAAGCACCGGCUAACUCCGUGCCAGCAGCCGCGGUAAUACGGAGGGUGCAAGCGUUAAUCGGAAUUACUGGGCGUAAAGCGUACGUAGGCGGUUUGUUUAGUCAGAUGUGAAGGCCCCGGGCUUAACCUGGGAACUGCAUUUGAAACUGGCAAGCUAGAAUAUGGUAGAGGGGGGUAGAAUUUCUAGUGUAGCGGUGAAAUGCGUAGAUAUUAGAAGGAAUACCAGUGGCGAAGGCGGCCCCCUGGACCAAUAUUGACGCUGAGGUACGAAAGCGUGGGUAGCGAACAGGAGUUAGAUACCCUGGUAGUCCACCGCCGUAAACGAUGUCAACUAGCCGUUGGGACCUUGAGGUCUCAGUGGUGCAGCUAACGCUGAAGUUGACCGCCUGGGGAGUACGGCCGCAAGGCUAAAACUCAAAUGAAUUGACG